GUAGACGCUAAAAAUAGUAGGCUUAAGGUACUAAAAAUCUAAUAUUAAUAACUUGGAGGAUUAGCCUAGUUAUUAAAGAAUCUAAAAUUGCCACCCACUCAUCAUUAAUAAUUAUGAAUAACAAGCAACUCAAGUGAUUAAGUAUAUCGUGUUAAAGUCAGACAAUGUCAUUAUGAGAAGAAAUUAUACCAUGUUGAAAUCAGAAGUAAGAACCGAUUUCAGGGCUAAGCAAAACAUUUCGUAGUCUCCUAUGAAGUGUUGUGGAAAAUUUAUUUCGCCUGAACAAAGGUGUGUAGAUAUAGUUCCCAUGCUAUCGGUUGUAAACUUAAUCUUUAUUGAGUUCAGCAGGACUGACAUCUUGCCCGUAAUACUAAUAAAAAUACAAAUUCCAUCAAACCUAGAAUAUAAAGUAGAGUGAAAAAAUGGGUAAAAACCAUGGAAUUGGUUAUAUCCAAAUACCUUCUAAAUCACAUUCAUCAAUACAUCUCCUCAAAUAACUUAAAAUAGAGCUCUCCUGUGCAACAAACAAUUGCUCAUUAGGCAAUGCUAGGGCAUUGUGAACAUUAUCAGCAGUGAGAUCUCUUGAAAAUAUAAAAAAUACCUGCAAGUUUAUAUUUAGCUUUGGAUGGAGUUGUUAGAAUUGAUGUCUGGAGAAACUAUAUACUUGAAGACUCCUUAGUUGUGUGCAAAAAAGAGGAUUUUUCUCCUAAGAAAUUGCUUAAGGUAAGAAAGUUUGCACUUGAACAUGCAAUUGAUUUAGGUGGACCAAAAUGAGAAUUCUUUCACUUGCUUUCUGCAGAAGCUACUAAGUACUUGAUUGGAGAUUUUGGUAAAUUUUUUUCCACCAACGCUUUGGCUGUUCAGGCCAAUACUGCGGCAUGUCAGUGACCCAGGGAGGCAAUGGGUUUCCGUAUUUUCAUCACUUGGUAUAUGAAUAUUUUGUUACUGGAGCUGUAUCGUGUACUAUUGAUAUUGAUAGAGAUUGUAUCCCUUAUGGAAUUUUGAAGUACAUUUUGGAUAAACUAGAUACAGCGGACUCAAAAGACGACAUUCAAGCAGUGUUUCAUGUUGAUGAAGCCACUGAAUUUUUAUAUGCCACUGACUCUCCUAAACCUGUAUUAAAUCUGGUCUUAGAUGACAAGGAUAACAUCCAAUCCAUUUUUGUAGCCUAUCAUUGUUUUCUAAAAGUCAAAUCUGAAAUGGAUCGGUUUAUUGAGGGGCUACAUGUCACUGGAGUACUUGAUUUUGUUCGGAGUCACCCUCUGCAUUAAGACACAUGUUUGUUUUCAUUAAAAAGAAACUGACAGCUGGUUAGGUUUUUUUGCACUUUUUUAUUUUUAGUUUUUAGAGGAAUUAAAGUCAUUAUUUAAAUUUAAAUGUGGCUUAGAAGUUGACUCUCUUGAACCAGUUGCCAGCAACAAAGUUGCUCAAUGUUUAUAGUAUAUAGCAUAUGGCAUAUAUGUACAUGAUGACCACUGUGAGAUGGGGAGUGGUUGUCAGGCUACUCCUCCUCAUCACGACGUGUGUGUGUGUGUGUGUGUGUGAGUGUGUGU